rnacentral:rRNA from 1 species
CCACGCCGUAAACGAUGAGUGCUAACUGUUAGGGGGUUUCCGCCCCUUAGUGCUGCAGCUAACGCAUUAAGCACUCCGCCUGGGGAGUACGGUCGCAAGACUGAAACUCAAAGGAAUUGACGGGGGCCCGCACAAGCGGUGGAGCAUGUGGUUUAAUUCGAAGCAACGCGAAGAACCUUACCAGGUCUUGACAUCCUCUGACAAUCCUAGAGAUAGGACGUCCCCUUCGGGGGCAGAGUGACAGGUGGUGCAUGGUUGUCGUCAGCUCGUGUCGUGAGAUGUUGGGUUAAGUCCCGCAACGAGCGCAACCCUUGAUCUUAGUUGCCAGCAUUCAGUUGGGCACUCUAAGGUGACUGCCGGUGACAAACCGGAGGAAGGUGGGGAUGACGUCAAAUCAUCAUGCCCCUUAUGACCUGGGCUACACACGUGCUACAAUGGACAGAACAAAGGGCAGCGAAACCGCGAGGUUAAGCCAAUCCCACAAAUCUGUUCUCAGUUCGGAUCGCAGUCUGCAACUCGACUGCGUGAAGCUGGAAUCGCUAGUAAUCGCGGAUCAGCAUGCCCGCGGUGAAUACGUUCCCGGGCCUUGUACACACCGCCCGUCACACCACGAGAGUUUGUAACACCCCGAAGUCGGUGAGGUAACCUUUUAGGAGCCAGCCGCCGAAGGUGGGACAGAUG